rnacentral:rRNA from 1 species
AGAUGAGAUUUCCCAACUUCGGUUAUAAGAUCCCUCGAAGAUGACGAGGUUAAUAGGUUCGAGGUGGAAGCGUGGUGACACGUGGAGCUGACGAAUACUAAUCGAUCGAAGACUUAAUCAAUUU